AGUGGCGGACGGGUGAGUAACGCGUGAGAAUCUGCCUUCAGGUCGGGGACAACAGAGGGAAACUUCUGCUAAUCCCGGAUGAGCCUUAGGGUAAAAAAUUUAUUGCCUGGAGAUGAGCUCGCGUCUGAUUAGCUAGUUGGUAAGGUAAAAGCUUACCAAGGCAACGAUCAGUAGCUGGUCUGAGAGGAUGAGCAGCCACACUGGGACUGAGACACGGCCCAGACUCCUACGGGAGGCAGCAGUGGGGAAUUUUCCGCAAUGGGCGAAAGCCUGACGGAGCAAGACCGCGUGGGGGAGGAAGGCUCUAGGGUUGUAAACCCCUUUUCUUUGGGAAGAACAAAAUGACGGUACCAAAGGAAUCAGCCUCGGCUAACUCCGUGCCAGCAGCCGCGGUAAUACGGAGGAGGCAAGCGUUAUCCGGAAUGAUUGGGCGUAAAGCGUCCGCAGGUGGCAAUGUAAGUCUGCUGUCAAAACCCAGGGCUCAACUCUGGUCAGGCAGUGGAAACUACAUAGCUAGAGUUCGGUAGGGGCAAAGGGAAUUCCCGGUGUAGCGGUGAAAUGCGUAGAGAUCGGGAAGAACAUCGGUGGCGAAAGCGCUUUGCUAGACCGAAACUGACACUCAGGGACGAAGCUAGGGGAGCGAAUGGGAUUAGAUACCCC
rnacentral:rRNA from 1 species